AAAUUGUAAUUGAAAAGUAGCAAACACAGCCCAAAACUCUCUCUUCGUCUCUCUCUCUUUCUCUCCGUCUCCCCUAACUUCGCAGCCUACCGUAUUGCCUCACUGUUGCUGCCAACAACCUCCAUGGUACGGUUGUUGCUCUCUAUCGCUGGUAUGGCUCUGCCGAUGCGCAGAGAUCUAGAAAACCCUUUAUCGCCGCCAUCGUCGUCUUCGAUCUCCUCCUCCGCUACCCCUCCGACACCUCUGGUUCGAUCGCAGACCACAGAUCCGCUGACGAUCUAAACCCUAGCUGUGCUGUCAUCUUUGAUCUCUUAUCUUCCACAUAGGGAUUGUUAGAGCGACUUCUCUAGGGUUUUUCGCUAUCGACAAACAGUGUGACCACCACCGAGGGAAAGGAGGUCUACAACUUGCCAAAUCUGAUAUAUUUAUUAUAUUUAUAUAUAAAGGAUGGUUGAAUCUGAGGAUGCUAUUUGUUAGAUCUGUUCUGGCGUCUUACGGCAGCGGCGCCGUAGGCGGUGGUGGGUUUGGAGUAAACUCAAGUUGGUCGAACGAGUUUUCACUCAAAGAGAAAACAAAGACAAAACGAGCAUAGCCUAUGAUCUCGUCGAGUAAAUGCAGUAUCUGUAUGUUAUAUUUCGACAUAGUGAUCCUUGGAUUUGGAUUUGGGUUGUCCAUGGUAAUCUUUGGAUUUAUGUGUGUGUGUGUGUGUGUUUUUUUUUUUCUGAUCUCUAAUCAAUACAUUUAUUUGUCUU